CACGUAGGGUGCGAGCGUUGUCCGGAAUUAUUGGGCGUAAAGAGCUCGUAGGCGGUGUGUCGCGUCGGCCGUGAAAACCUGCAGCUUAACUGUGGGCGUGCGGUCGAUACGGGCAGACUAGAGUACUGCAGGGGAGACUGGAAUUCCUGGUGUAGCGGUGGAAUGCGCAGAUAUCAGGAGGAACACCGGUGGCGAAGGCGGGUCUCUGGGCAGUAACUGACACUGAGGAGCGAAAGCGUGGGGAGCGAACAGG
rnacentral:rRNA from 1 species